AUGUCCAUGGGAGCUGCAGGGAUUAGAAUUCACGACAUGAUGGAUUCCUUCAUCAGCAAACAUGUAUGGUAUGGCGGUGUUGGUUUUACCAGGCGUGAAAUAUACAACGUUUGCCCCAGGGAGAAGAGGAAGCUGCUUUCAAAAGGUGAUGUUGCCACAGCCAUAGGCAUCAUGGCCAGUAGGAAACAGAGGGAUCCUAGCUUCUUUUUCGAGUACAAGCUAGGUAAGGAAGGACACUUGAAUAGGAUGUUCUGGUGUGACUCCCAAUCUUGUCAUGACUAUGAGGACUUUGCCGACGUGCUUGUAUUUGACUGCACAUGCAAGAUGAACCACUAUGGUAUGCCAUUCAUACCUUUUGUUGGUCUUAACAAUCACCGGAAGACCAUUGUUUUUGGUUGUGCCAUAGUUUCGGACAAGACCGAACAGACAUAUGUGUGGCUACUGCAGACUUUUUUGAGGUCCAUGUGUCAAAAGAUGCCGAAGAGUGUAAUCACGGACGCCGACGCUGCAAUAAUCAAGGCAAUUCGCGAAGUCUUGCCAGACGUGUGGCACCGUAUAUUUCUUGUUCGGUUCAUGAAAGAAGCAAGGUUGGGACUGCCGACGAGGCACACAAGCGAUAUGUUGGGAUUUGGUUGGACUGGGGCAGGGGAAAGAAUGAAAUAUAGCCAGACGAUGGUGAAGGCAACAUGGUUGCAUAAAGAUCCUAUGAAAGUGUCAAGCAAAGGUGCAACAAAGAUAGAUGAGAACCGCCCUGUCUCAAAAAAUGGUAGACCACUCUCUUUCGAUGAGUUGAAAAUCCGGUGCGGCGCUUGCAAAUUGCUAGGACACACUAGACGUAGCAAGAAAUGCAAACUAAAUCAGAAAAAUGUGGAGAAGGAAGAAGAGUAG
rnacentral:rRNA from 1 species